GAUGAACGCUGGCGGCGUGCCUAAUACAUGCAAGUCGAGCGAACAGACGAGGAGCUUGCUCCUCUGACGUUAGCGGCGGACGGGUGAGUAACACGUGGAUAACCUACCUAUAAGACUGGGAUAACUUCGGGAAACCGGAGCUAAUACCGGAUAAUAUAUUGAACCGCAUGGUUCAAUAGUGAAAGACGGUUUUGCUGUCACUUAUAGAUGGAUCCGCGCCGCAUUAGCUAGUUGGUAAGGUAACGGCUUACCAAGGCGACGAUGCGUAGCCGACCUGAGAGGGUGAUCGGCCACACUGGAACUGAGACACGGUCCAGACUCCUACGGGAGGCAGCAGUAGGGAAUCUUCCGCAAUGGGCGAAAGCCUGACGGAGCAACGCCGCGUGAGUGAUGAAGGUCUUCGGAUCGUAAAACUCUGUUAUUAGGGAAGAACGAAUGUGUAAGUAACUAUGAACGUCUUGACGGUACCUAAUCAGAAAGCCACGGCUAACUACGUG
rnacentral:rRNA from 1 species